GACGAACGCUGGCGGCGUGCUUAACACAUGCAAGUCGAACGGAAAGGCCCGUCCUUUCUCUGGUACUCGAGUGGCGAACGGGUGAGUAACACGUGAGUAAUCUGCCUUUCACUUUGGGAUAACUUCAGGAAACUGGGUCUAAUACCGGAUAUGAGCUCCCGCUGCAGGGUUGGGUUUGGAGAUUUUUCGGUGCUAGAUGUGCUCGCGGCCUAUCAGCUUGUUGGUGGGGUAUUGGCCUACCAAGGCGUUGACGGGUAGCCGGCCUGAGAGGGUGUACGGCCACAUUGGGACUGAGAUACGGCCCAGACUCCUACGGGAGGCAGCAGUGGGGAAUAUUGCACAAUGGGCGGAAGCCUGAUGCAGCGACGCCGCGUGGGGGAUGACGGCCUUCGGGUUGUAAACUCCUUUCGACAGUGACGAAGCGUAAGUGACGGUAAUUGGAAAAGAAGCACCGGCUAACUACGUG
rnacentral:rRNA from 1 species